rnacentral:tRNA from 1 species
GAUACGGUCAGCUAAAUUAAGCUCCCGGGCCCAUACCCCGGAUAUGAUGGUUAAAAUCCCUCCCUUAUCA